AUACAGAUUAAGACCUUUUUGUUUUUCAUGUCGUCAACUCACUCCCCCUAUGCUCCCCCUUCAAACUGGACUCCAAGUCACUUUACCCACCAGGGCUUAGGGCAAGGAUAACUGUUUUAGAAUUUAAGAUAACUCUAACACUUGUGUCACCUCAGAACUACUCUAGAUCAUGGCAUGCUAGCCAAUUCUCCUACACCUUGAGACAUAUUAGGGAAAAACAAACUGUAAAGAGGAGUAAUGUAAAUCUGUCCAAACCAGAACAUUUGCAGUUUUACUUUAAUGCCAAAAACAGUGCCUUUGUUCAAUGACACCUGAACAUCAGUUUAUGUAAAGGCUUAGCAGGUGGAUUAGCAGAUGGUAGUCAGAAUUCCCAAGUUUACCACUAAUAUUCAUUACUUCAUCAAAACCAAGAUGAAAAAAAAAAACUAUUUAAAAGACAAGGCUAAGCAUAUAUCAAGUCCUAUUAUGUAGACUAGUGAGCUAAAUUUUGCAUUCUACAGUGAUUAUCUGGGGGAAAUUAAGGCAUUAACUAAAGACAUUGAUAAAUAUUUCUAUCAAUUUGCUCAGACAAAAAUGUUUUUUAAACUACAGACUAUAGCAUAAUUAUUCAAAAUAAACAGUAAUUAACUGAACUAAAUCAAGCAACACAAGGGUUUGCAAAUUUGCCCUGUGGUUUACCAGCUGUGCUUUUUACUGUCUGCACUGUGAAUUUACACUCAUGCUUCGAGUUCUCAAGAGGUGGUAGAAAAUUGAAGUGUGUUUUAGAAGCAUAUUAAGCAAGGGUAAAGUUACUAAUUUAGUCUGUCUAAGUCAUCUAGCAAUGAGAGAUUUACUUUUUUAAAAAUCAGUAUGAAGCAAGUUUAACGAGCCUUUAUUGAAUACCUACUAUACGCUGAGAGCUAUGUGAAACCUAGAGAUAAGAACUUAAGUAAGACAUGUAGAGUGCAA
rnacentral:lncRNA from 1 species